rnacentral:lncRNA from 1 species
GUCAAUUGUUGGCUGACACAUUAUGUAAUUUCAAAGCCUAUUCUUAUACUUAUAAAAUUUUAUUAUUAAUAAAAAGAUAUUUUUAUUUUCAAUCAUAUUUAUGUGUUAAUGAUUUAUCCUCAAAAUUAAUAAAAAUAAUUUUGUAUAUUCUCAAAGUGUUGAGAAUUUGAGACAUACAUUAUUAGUAAUAAGUUUCUAAAUACUCCUAAUCGUAAGAUCGUCAUAGAGGAUAAUGAUUAAUCCACUUAAGAUCGGUAUAUGGAUCACCUCCCUCAUAGGCAGACGAGUCUUGAGUCUGCGAUGUGGUGAUAUUAGGGUGACAGUGCAGGUGGUUGAUAGAGAACAACUUAUACUAAGCAUGAUCAAUACGAAAAAUCACAUAGAUAUCUACUCAUUCAUCAGUGAUCUUCUCGAUGUUGCAGUGGUAUGUGAUUCUUUGACCUUCGAUGUCAUCGGUUAUUCGCAGCGAGGCUACUGAGUUUGAUUGCACAUUCUCUUAUUCUUUAACCAUUCAAUUCUUUACUGUGUAUGUUGGCUACAGUAGGUUCAGGUUCACUGUUAGAG